rnacentral:rRNA from 1 species
CAGUAGCCACGGGAAUACGAAGGGGGCUAGCGUUGCUCGGAAUUACCGGGCGUAAAGGGAGCGUAGGCGGAUCGUUAAGUUGGGGGUGAAAGCCCGGGGCUCAACCUCGGAACUGCCUUCAAUACUGGCGAUCUUGAGUAUGAGAGAGGUGUGUGGAACUCCGAGUGUAGAGGUGAAAUUCGUAGAUAUUCGGAAGAACACCAGUGGCGAAGGCGACACGCUGGCUCAUUACUGACGCUGAGGCUCGAAAGCGUGGGGAGCGAACAGGAUUAGAUACCCCAGUAGUCCCUGUCUCUUAUAC